GAGAGUAAAACAGUACGUGAAAUUGUUGAAAGGGAAACGAUUGAAGUCAGUCAUGCCGGCGUUGGAUUCAGCUUGCUUCGCGGAGCUUGCGCAUUUCCUCGCAUGGCAGGUCAGCGUCAGUUUUGCGCGGCGUGAAAAGGCUCGGGUAAGGUAGCUCUCUUCGGGGAGUGUUAUAGACCUGGGCAAAUGCGCAGCGCGGGACUGAGGAUUGCAGCGGACACCUCUUCGGAGGCGCGGCGACCGAACCCUGCUCGGCCACCCUCGUUCGAUAGCGUGCUAGCGGACGCGGGAGCGGCAGUGCACCGGAACAGGCAAGCCAGCGGUUCGCUUAGGAUGCUGACGUAAUGGCUUUAAACGA
rnacentral:rRNA from 1 species